CGUACCAAGAUAGUCAUGGGCAAAGUGUUCGGACGAUUUUCUAUGACUGUGGCCUCGUCUCGCUUUGUUUCAUGACAGCUCAAAUUUAUAUAUUCUUAUCCUUACUAGGGAGAACACCAACUAAAGGAUAAUAUCAAAGCUUGUCUGUUUUUUUAUUAGAAGUAUAUUCAGUGUUCAUAUUAAUGCAAGAAUUUUAUAUAAAGACGAAGUCAAAGCCAAACAUGAUCUAUCAUUGUCGAAAUAAUGCAUAUUAUCUCAUAAAACCGUAACUAACUUUUAUAAACCAUUCAAAACGCUUAAUAAAAUAUAAAAAAAUAAAAAGAAUUGCAAAAUAAAUGACAGGAAGCUCUGAAACAUUGAAAAAAAAUAGAUAACUAAAAGAUUAAUAGGCAACGUCACUCUCAAUCAGCCAGUAUCGGUUUGGGAACGGGGAGAGACAGAUGCUACGAGAAUAUCUCCCGUUAACUGUCCCCCGUUUUUUUUUUUUUUUUUCUCUUUUUCUGUUUUUGCGUGUGUGUGUGCCCACGUCUAUGAACUGACCAUUAGGAUAACCACAAAGCAUAGUUCCCCCGGUGCUAUGAAGGCGUGGACUCCCAUUUGAAUCGUGAAAAGUGAAAAAUAAUGUGGCCUUUGACUCGCGACUGGAAGAGAUUGUGUUGCGUGCAGUGUUACCAGAAGUAGAGUGCAGGGAGUGGCCAGCCGCUAGCCAGACUCAGUCAGGUCAGGUGAAGCAGUUAGUCUGGCCUUGACUCUCGCUUAGCACAGCCGCGGCCGCACACCACAGCAAACCCAAGGCUGUGGUCUGUUUGCCUGCGUGACCUUGACGUAUAGAACACUACAGGAGUUUUGCGUGUGUGUCAGUGUUGCCAGCCAAGACCACCAGUGUUACCAGAUGAAAGGGGAGAUGGGUAGAGGGAGGCGCUAAGUGGAUGAAAGCCUCCACCUUCUUUCCCUGUUGCUCCGCCAUCCACGCCCGCCCUCCCACGGCUCUCCACUGACCACCAGGAGGGAACACGAGUCGUCCAGGUCGUCUUAAAAAGGUAAUUACACAUAUUUUCUUGAUUACAA